UACGGAGGGAGCUAGCGUUGUUCGGAAUUACUGGGCGUAAAGCGUACGUAGGCGGUUAUUCAAGUCAGAGGUGAAAGCCCGGGGCUCAACCUCGGAACGGCCUUUGAAACUAGAUAGCUAGAAUCUUGGAGAGGUCAGUGGAAUUCCGAGUGUAGAGGUGAAAUUCGUAGAUAUUCGGAAGAACACCAGUGGCGAAGGCGACUGACUGGACAAGUAUCGACGCUGAGGUACGAAAGCGUGGGGAGCAAACAGG
rnacentral:rRNA from 1 species